rnacentral:rRNA from 1 species
GACGAACGCUGGCGGCGUGCUUAACACAUGCAAGUCGAACGAUGAAGCCGGAGCUUGCUCCGGUGGAUUAGUGGCGAACGGGUGAGUAACACGUGAGCAAUCUGCCCUUGACUCUGGGAUAACUGCGGGAAACUGUAGCUAAUACCGGAUACGACACCUUGGGGCAUCCCAGGGUGUGGAAAGAAUUUCGGUCAAGGAUGAGCUCGCGGCCUAUCAGCUAGUUGGUGAGGUAAUGGCUCACCAAGGCGACGACGGGUAGCCGGCCUGAGAGGGUGAGCGGCCACACUGGAACGGAGACACGGCCCAGACUCCUACGGGAGGCAGCAGUGGGGAAUAUUGAACAAUGGGCGCAAGCCUGAUGCAGCGACGCCGCGUGAGGGAUGAAGGUCUUCGGAUUGUAAACCUCUUUCAGUAGGGACGAAGCGAAAGUGACGGUACCUAAAGAAGAAGCACCGGCUAACUACGUGCCAGCCGCCGCCGUAA